rnacentral:rRNA from 1 species
UCUUGGCUCAGAUUGAACGCUGGCGGCAUGCCUUACACAUGCAAGUCGAACGGCAGCACGGGGGCAACCCUGGUGGCGAGUGGCGAACGGGUGAGUAAUACAUCGGAACGUGUCCUGUAGUGGGGGAUAGCCCGGCGAAAGCCGGAUUAAUACCGCAUACGAUCUACGGAAGAAAGCGGGGGAUCUUCGGACCUCGCGCUAUAGGGGCGGCCGAUGGCAGAUUAGCUAGUUGGUGGGGUAAAGGCCUACCAAGGCGACGAUCUGUAGCUGGUCUGAGAGGACGACCAGCCACACUGGGACUGAGACACGGCCCAGACUCCUACGGGAGGCAGCAGUGGGGAAUUUUGGACAAUGGGGGGCAACCCUGAUCCAGCAAUGCCGCGUGUGUGAAGAAGGCCUUCGGGUUGUAAAGCACUUUUUGUCCGGAAAGAAAACUUCGUCCCUAAUAUGGAUGGAGGAUGACGGUACCGGAAGAAUAAGCACCGGCUAACUACGUG